GAUGAACGCUGGCGGCGUGCCUAAUACAUGCAAGUCGAGCGAACAGACGAGGAGCUUGCUCCUCUGACGUUAGCGGCGGACGGGUGAGUAACACGUGGAUAACCUACCUAUAAGACUGGGAUAACUUCGGGAAACCGGAGCUAAUACCGGAUAAUAUAUUGAACCGCAUGGUUCAAUAGUGAAAGACGGUUUUGCUGUCACUUAUAGAUGGAUCCGCGCCGCAUUAGCUAGUUGGUAAGGUAACGGCUUACCAAGGCAACGAUGCGUAGCCGACCUGAGAGGGUGAUCGGCCACCCUGGAACUGAGACACGGUCCAGACUCCUACGGUAGGCCGCAGUAGGGAAUCUUCCGCAAUGGGCGAAAGCCUGACGGAGCAACGCCGCGUGAGUGAUGAAGGUCUUCGGAUCGUAAAACUCUGUUAUUAGGGAAGAACAAAUGUGUAAGUAACUAUGCACGUCUUGACGGUACCUAAUCAGAAAGCCACGGCUAACUACGUG
rnacentral:rRNA from 1 species